GCCUGAGUGGUGAAACUGGCAGACACGCCACUUUGAGGGAGUGGUGCUAAUUUAGCGUAUGGGUUCAAAUCCCAUCUCGGGUA
rnacentral:tRNA from 2 species